rnacentral:lncRNA from 10 species
AAAGUGCUAGGAUUACGGGCGUGAGCCACUGCGCCUGGCUCUUUUUUUGUUCUUAUCUUUCCUUUUCUUUUUUAAACAGCAAGGCCUACUGCUUUUUCUCCUAGAGUUUUGACUUUAUUUAGUUUUGAUUUAUUUUAUUAGGGAUAUAAGUGUAAGUAAUUCUACAGUCUCUAGAAUGUAUAUGAUACAUAGUAUUUUUAUAGUUGAUGUCUAGAGUCUACUUUCUUGCGGUGGUUUCAGCCCAGUGAAUGUAGGUUACUGUCAUUACAGACUCAUGGCAUUUAUGCUAAGACACAGAAGGUGUAACAUGUAUACAUUACUACAUGAUUCUCCCUUGUAUGAAGGGUUGCCCUUGGCCAGAUUGGAGAUACUUGCCCAGAAAACUACAGCCUCCCGAAAACCCUCCUGUAGACCUGCUUUGCAUUGGAAUACGAGACUGUUCUCUUGCCUCCAGGUGGGACUGUCUUAUCUCUCAGAUGCUGGUGAGAUCCCAAGACUACACCAUUGUUUAGCAUUCUUAUAUUCUUCAUAGCUGUGUCCCUCACAUCUCUUCUGCUGAGAGUACUCCAUCAGUAAGACAUUGAACAAAAUUCCUUAUCUCAGGUCAGCCUCUACAAAACCCAACCUGAGCUAGCAAGUGACACAUCCUGAGUUCUGAUCAUGGAAAUAUAUUCUACUUAGGUUCACCAUCUUUCUAACUUUUUACAUUUUAUUUUUAUUUACAAUCACAUAUUCAUGCAGAAUGUUAUACUAAAUUCAUACUCAUAUUCUCAUUGAAUGUUAAAUUAAAAUCACAAUAUUUUUAAAAGAUAAUUUUUAAACUUCUUUACACAUACAAUUUAUUUUCUCUGUCUCUGGCC